rnacentral:tRNA from 1 species
CCGCCUCUAGCUCAACAGCAGAGCACUCGGCCGAUAACCGAGCGACGAAGGUGCGAUUCCUUCGAGGCGGA